AUGUCAUAGCGACUUUUGGGGUAGUUUGCUUUCGGCAAAGGGGGACAAAGUCAUGGGGUGAGAGGGAAGGAGGACCCAAAACAGCCUCCAAGACCCUCACCAUCUCUUCACCGGCUCCCCCUCCCCCCCCACAGGUCCUGUAAGAAGUUGGGCCCAGCUGGAAGGGAUUGACCGACGCCUCUUCGCCCUAGGCUGGCCUCUGCGGAGAUUCCAGGCCCCACAGAGACCAGGACUUCCCUCAGCGCCACCGCCCCUCGUGCCAAUGCAGCCGGGAAAUCGCCAUUACCCACACUGGGCAAGAGAAACCGCACGGGGGCAAUCGGAGAGGCCAGGAAAAGGGAGAGAUGGAGGGAGAAGGUUCCAGGUUGGCCGUACUCAGGAGCAGGCCGAACGGCCCAGAGGAAGCCCUGGCGUCCGGUGCUGCCAGGCUCACUGCGGACGCACCCCAGCCCGGUAAACUCACUGUCGCUCGCCGGGACUGGUUUCCCUUCAAUUUAAAAAUUUCAUGUGGAUCGCCCAUGCCAAUUUAGAAUGAAAUAGAUUUAAAUACAUAAAGUAAAAAUAAAUUGAAAUAAAAGCAAGG